GCUUAGGUGUUUGACUUACAGCUCUCUGCUUGAUGACGGUAGGAAGAAGAACGUACCGCAGAGGUAUGCGCCGAAAAAGGUAGAGGCUGAAAUCUACGACUGUUAUUAAAGUUUCCCCCUGAAGGUGUUUGUGUUCUGCUCAUUUCAAGACCCAAUAAGGUCAGGCAAUUUGGUAUACUCUUUCCUCUUUGCAGCUAGCAAUGUUGGCGUCAGCGUCUGGAAUAAAAAAAAAGUAGAAUUUUAUGGAGCCUUUUAGGGAUGAAGGGGAGGGAAGUGUCAAAAGUUGCACUGAUAGUAGCAUGCGUUGGGAGUCCCCAAAGAAAACAAAACAAAAAAAACAAAGAGAAACAGUCGUUAAAACUCAGGAGGCAAGGACAAGAGGUAAAAACCUCAAUAAUUGCCUGGAUGCCAGAGGGAUUGCUUUCAUUCAAUCAGAGCAUUCUCUCUCCCCGCACGUCGAAGGUGGAGAAGGAGUUUUUUGGGAAGGUUGGGUUGUGUGGGCGUCCGGGGGAUCCGGCGGUGCCCUCCCUCUCUAGGUAACGUACGGCGUUUAGGGCGAUAGCUUCCAGCUGAAUCUCUGGCAUCAUGAGCGGCACAGAGUGAUAAACUGUGUGUGUGAGGGAGAAUAGUGUGAGGCAGCGAUAAGGAGGUUGUAUCUGACUGAGGAACCGGUGCCGGGCUCCCAUCCUCGCGCUCCUCUAACAACAACAACAACACUGUGAGUAUUCUCAUGCUAAUUCUUCUCCUCCAUCCUUCCCUAACAUCCGUUUGUCUCUUUCUCCCCCCCGCUCUUUUUUUUUUCCUUCAAUUUUUUAUAUAUGUAUAUAUUUUUUUACCUCUUUCAUGCUUCCAUCCAACGUGCCGAACGCAGCGGCAGCAGUAGCGGCGCGGGAAGGUAGAAGUGUAGACAAAAAAGGGAAACGAGAGGAGAGAGCAUGCACAGAAAAGGAGAGAAAGAAGGGGAGGAGGAGGGGGGGUUUGAAAAAGAGAUCGUUGCUGCUGUCGCUGCGAGCAACCCCGUUCUGCUUUCGGAGGUGUUUCUCCUGGAGGAUGGUGGAAUUGCUGGAGGGAUGCAGGGGGGCGGGUCUUGGUUUUGUGAGUAGAUAGCUGUGCGAGAAUGAUAGGGGAUGUUGUUGACAAGCAUAGAGUGGCUCAUCACACAGAGCGGGUAGCAGGAACCGGGGGUCACUCUGUGUUGACUAAACUUCUGAUUCAUCCAUCACUUUCCAUAUUUCAUUUCUCCUCUCCUCAUUUGGUGGUUUUGGGGACUGACUGAGGACUUUCUGUCAUGAUGAUGAUGAUGCUGCCGACUCUGAGCGAGGCAUCGGCAGUCGCGGAUGGGAGAUGAAUCAUAGCCGGUGGCUCCUGAGCAUAUGUGUGUGUGCCAUUCAUAGCGUGCGUGCAGAGUUUAAACGGCUCCACUUUUGCAGCUGCACAUGCAGGAGUGUGCCGAUCACGUGUGCAUCUUCAAGAUCCAGAUGUAAACAAUAAUUACCGUUAGUGUGUAGAUUGGAUAGAUGCACUAGGUGUGAGUGUGUGAGGUCAGAAAGUCAGUGUCCAUUCCUGCUCGCUCCCCUUUGAUCAAAGAGCCUCAUUUAGUCCGCCCACGGCAUGUGUCUGAGCCAUAUGAGGAGUGGGUGUAGUUUGUGUGUAUGUGGAGGUGUGUGUGUGGGGGGGUGAGAUGGAUAGGCCCUGCUUCCCCGACUGCAACACCAUGGCUAAUGGGCACUCGGGUCAGCAGGGGUGGAAGCACAUCCGGUUGUACGGAUGAGUCCCAGCGACCAGAACUGUCUCCGUUUCCUUCGCUGGUUUAAAAAAAAAAAAUAAUAA